UACAGAGGUCCCAAGCGUUGUUCGGAUUCAUUGGGCGUAAAGGGUGCGUAGGCGGCGUGGUAAGUCACUUGUGAAAUCUCUGAGCUUAACUCAGAACGGCCAAGUGAUAUUGCUGUGCUAGAGUGCAGAAGGGGCAAUCGGAAUUCUUGGUGUAGCGGUGAAAUGCGUAGAUAUCAAGAGGAACACCUGAGGUGAAGACGGGUUGCUGGGCUGACACUGACGCUGAUGCGCGAAAGCCAGGGGAGCAAACGGG
rnacentral:rRNA from 1 species